UUGAAAGCAUGUCAUAGCAAAACAAGUUAAUAUCUCCAUUGAAUUAAUGUACCCUUUUGGUUGGGUUAUUUUUUUCCUAAAAUAUAAUAUUCACCCUUUUAAUGCUAGCAAUGAGAUCAUGAUGAAGUGAAAUGGAGAUUUUAUUGAUCCUAAACCAUUUUUGUUUAUGACAGGGCAAAAGAAUAAAAAGCGGAGAAGAGAAAAAAACUUGGGCUAAUGUUCAACAACAAUGCUGAUGUUGCUGCCAAGAUGUGAGAAUGGACUUCAUUCUAUUGGAGAUCCCAUCUCAGGCAGCCUAAAGUGAUUAUGGAGUAGCAGAGCAGCAGCAGCAGCAUUAUUGCUGUGGGGAGGGUUGAUGCUCUUGGUUGCACUCAUUUCCCCAUGGGAAGACUUGCCUGCUUCUCCGAGCAGCCUUAAUUACAAAGCUGGAAUUGCUUCCUAGUAGUGAUGAAGAAAUAAUUUCUUCUGGCUGAGAAACCCUACAUUGGUAGACCUUCUGUCACAGCUGUCACACACAAGGAGAGAAAAUGAGUUAUUUGCAGAAUCACAGGAUGGGUAAUGCAAUGAUGCCAUUAUUUGAGUGCACAAGGAUGUUCUAGCUGCUGAGCUGAUGAAGAAAAUCCAGACAGCAUUUAUUUUAUAAACUCCAUGUCUUUCUCUUUUAAAUGUUCCAUUUUCACCUACCAUGAAACAACAAGAACAUUUAUACAGCCCAGAAGAUGAAGCCACAGGUAGAACAACCAAUUUUCUGUUCUCAUGUGAUCAUUUUCCCAGCUUCAGUUUUAAUUUGAUGGGAAAUACCAAAAAACAUUUGGAGGAGUUUGCCCUAACUCAGCUGUAAUCAGAAAUACUGAUUUUUGGCUGAUUUCAAUGCUUGUGUGCUUACUUGUGGUUCCCUCAAAGACCUGAAAAAUAAAAAUAAAUACAUUUUAGCAGA